GACGAACGCUGGCGGCGUGCUUAACACAUGCAAGUCGAACGGAAAGGUCCUGCUUUUGUUGGGUGCUCGAGUGGCGAACGGGUGAGUAACACGUGAGUAACCUGCCCUUGACUUUGGGAUAACUUCAGGAAACUGGGGCUAAUACCGGAUAUGAGCUCCUGCUGCAUGGUGGUGGUUGGAAAGUUUCGGCGGUUGGGGAUGGACUCGCGGCUUAUCAGCUUGUUGGUGUGGUAGUGGCUUACCAAGGCUUUGACGGGUAGCCGGCCUGAGAGGGUGACCGGCCACAUUGGGACUGAGAUACGGCCCAGACUCCUACGGGAGGCAGCAGUGGGGAAUAUUGCACAAUGGGCGGAAGCCUGAUGCAGCAACGCCGCGUGCGGGAUGACGGCCUUCGGGUUGUAAACCGCUUUCGCCUGUGACGAAGCGUGAGUGACGGUAAUGGGUAAAGAAGCACCGGCUAACUACGUG
rnacentral:rRNA from 1 species